rnacentral:rRNA from 1 species
GACAGAGGGUGCAAACGUUGUUCGGAAUUACUGGGCGUAAAGCGUGUGUAGGCGGUUCGAUAAGUCGGAUGUGAAAGCCCCGGGCUCAACCCGGGAAGUGCACUCGAUACUGUCGAGCUAGAGUAUCGGAGAGGUUGGUGGAAUUCUCGGUGUAGAGGUGAAAUUCGUAGAUAUCGAGAGGAACACCGGUGGCGAAGGCGGCCAACUGGACGAAUACUGACGCUGAGACUCGAAAGCGUGGGGAGCAAACAGG